rnacentral:misc_RNA from 1 species
UCUCCGUAGGUGAACCUGCGGAGGGAUCAUUACAGAGUUCUCGCCCUCGCGGGUAGAUCUCCCACCCACUGUUAUCGUUACUGUGUUGCUUUGGCGGGCCGCCGGGCCCCGCUCGGCCGCCGGCUCCGGCUGGCGCGCGCCCGCCAGAGGCCCAGCAAACUCUGAAUGUUAGUGUCGUCUGAGUACUAUAUAAUAGUUGAAACUUUCAACAACGGAUCUCUUGGUUCUG